GGCCUGUUAUCUCAGUAGGUUGAGCAUGGCACUGACAACACCAAGGCCACAGGUUCGAUUCCUGUUCAGUCCC
rnacentral:tRNA from 1 species